rnacentral:rRNA from 1 species
AAAUUGAAGAGUUUGAUCAUGGCUCAGAUUGAACGCUGGCGGCAGGCCUAACACAUGCAAGUCGAGCGGAAACGAGUUAUUAGAACCUUCGGGGGACGAUAACGGCGUCGAGCGGCGGACGGGUGAGUAAUGCCUAGGAAAUUGCCCUGAUGUGGGGGAUAACCAUUGGAAACGAUGGCUAAUACCGCAUGAUGCCUACGGGCCAAAGAGGGGGACCUUCGGGCCUCUCGCGUCAGGAUAUGCCUAGGUGGGAUUAGCUAGUUGGUGAGGUAAGGGCUCACCAAGGCGACGAUCCCUAGCUGGUCUGAGAGGAUGAUCAGCCACACUGGAACUGAGACACGGUCCAGACUCCUACGGGAGGCAGCAGUGGGGAAUAUUGCACAAUGGGCGCAAGCCUGAUGCAGCCAUGCCGCGUGUGUGAAGAAGGCCUUCGGGUUGUAAAGCACUUUCAGUCGUGAGGAAGGUAAUGUAGUUAAUAGCUGCAUUAUUUGACGUUAGCGACAGAAGAAGCACCGGCUAACUCCGUGCCAGCAGCCGCGGUAAUACGGAGGGUGCGAGCGUUAAUCGGAAUUACUGGGCGUAAAGCGCAUGCAGGUGGUUUGUUAAGUCAGAUGUGAAAGCCCGGGGCUCAACCUCGGAAUUGCAUUUGAAACUGGCAGACUAGAGUACUGUAGAGGGGGGUAGAAUUUCAGGUGUAGCGGUGAAAUGCGUAGAGAUCUGAAGGAAUACCGGUGGCGAAGGCGGCCCCCUGGACAGAUACUGACACUCAGAUGCGAAAGCGUGGGGAGCAAACAGGAUUAGAUACCCUGGUAGUCCACGCCGUAAACGAUGUCUACUUGGAGGUUGUGGCCUUGAGCCGUGGCUUUCGGAGCUAACGCGUUAAGUAGACCGCCUGGGGAGUACGGUCGCAAGAUUAAAACUCAAAUGAAUUGACGGGGGCCCGCACAAGCGGUGGAGCAUGUGGUUUAAUUCGAUGCAACGCGAAGAACCUUACCUACUCUUGACAUCCAGAGAACUUUCCAGAGAUGGAUUGGUGCCUUCGGGAACUCUGAGACAGGUGCUGCAUGGCUGUCGUCAGCUCGUGUUGUGAAAUGUUGGGUUAAGUCCCGCAACGAGCGCAACCCUUAUCCUUGUUUGCCAGCGAGUAAUGUCGGGAACUCCAGGGAGACUGCCGGUGAUAAACCGGAGGAAGGUGGGGACGACGUCAAGUCAUCAUGGCCCUUACGAGUAGGGCUACACACGUGCUACAAUGGCGCAUACAGAGGGCGGCCAACUUGCGAAAGUGAGCGAAUCCCAAAAAGUGCGUCGUAGUCCGGAUUGGAGUCUGCAACUCGACUCCAUGAAGUCGGAAUCGCUAGUAAUCGUGGAUCAGAAUGCCACGGUGAAUACGUUCCCGGCCUUGUACACACCGCCCGUCACACCAUGGGAGUGGGCUGCAAAAGAAGUAGGUAGUUUAACCUUCGGGGGGACGCUUACCACUUUGUGGUUCAUGACUGGGGUGAAGUCGUAACAAGGUAGCGCUAGGGGAACCUGGCGCUGGAUCACCUCCUUAAACGAUGAU